rnacentral:tRNA from 1 species
GUUGUGGCUCAAUGGUAGAGUGUUUGCUUAGCAUGUGCAAGGCCCUGGGUUCGAUCCACAUCACAACA